CCACUGUCUUUUUCAGAGAUUACUACCUUCUUCAAUUGAAGGGAAUAUGUGCAUGUUCAUGCAUUAUUUUCACUAACAUAUAGUAGUCCCAAACCCGAGCCUUUAUCUUCAGUACACUGCCUUCUACAUCCUCUCUCCAACCCAUAUAGUACUUCCCUUCCUCUCAAAAGUUUAGGUGUUUCCCACAUCACUUGGAAGGCCUCUUAAGUCUUAAGUGACAAUUCUAAGGAUUCUGCACUCAUCAAUGCCAGUCUGAAAAAUAUGGUUGAAGAAGGUGUUAUUCAACUAUAGUUCACCUUGCACGCAAAUACAGAGUUCUCUGCUUUGUGUAUGGACCAAAUUUACAAUUUGGAUACCUCAAUUAACAAAGUUUUGCCUACUGCUUCAUACUAUGCAAACCCUUGGAGUACCUAAUGUGCAUUUCCCAAAUUACUUAUUGCAUGGUGUUUGCGGAUGAAGCCUUGGCUUGGUUUGUUGGCAAAAGUAGUUACUCUGCUCUUUAGAGAUUGAUGAAGAGAUAUCAGGCUUUUGAAUGGUGUAAUGAUACACAGAUAUCAUCUUUUUAAAUGGCGUAUUAAUAGACUGUAGGUGAACUUUGGUGGAGCAUUAUCAUGAGGAUAUCCCUAACUAAGGUUCCAGUUUUAUCUCGAGGAUUCUGGUUUUGCUAUAAUGAAUGCAAUGCCAUUUAAUUCCCAUAGUGAUCAUUUCAGUUUCCCUGCGGCACUAUAUUUGUUAGCCUAGUUUCAUCACUUUGGAUGCUAGAGAGACUGAAAACAUGAAUUGUUUGAAUUAUUAAAAUACAUUGUGUACUGGAGUGAGGAUGAAUGCAUUUUACUUUUUCAUUUGUUUGUGGUAAGGUUGAUCUUACUUGAGAUUAUUGCUUGUGAUAUGUGAUUCUGCCUGUGUGGCUGUGUGCUUCGGUGUCACGGUGAUAGUGGUAAACUACCAUAUCACUAAAUCUGCACAUUGGUUCCGAACUUUCCUUUUCUGGUAAUUAUUUUUGUAAUCUCUAUGCUAUCAGCCGUGGAAGCGCUUUAUACUUGUUGCAAGUUUAGUUGUAAAUAUAGUGCAAGUUUAGUUUCCCACAAGUAUUUUACAAAGAAAACAGUGAGGGUCGAUAUAUGUAGUUUCAUAAAACACUAAAUGGGGCUUUCUUGCCAGGUUGAGGUUUUAUCUUGUUAUUUACCGAUAGCUGUGUAUUCUUAAAACAGUACUGGGGGUGGAGCUACCAUGGCCAAAGGGGCCAUGACACCCCAACCUCUUCAGAAUUUUCUUUUACUCAAAUACCUCAAAUUUUUUUUAAAAUUCAUGCAAUAAUUCAUGAAAAUUUGGGAGCAUUACGCUGGCCUCUUAAUGUGAUAAUCUAGCUCCACCACUGUUGUACUCAUGGUUGUAGCGGAACUACAUGGAGGGACAACGUACUCAGUUUUUCUCAAGCAGUUUCAAUUUCACACAAUGCGGUAGCAAAUAGAUAAUGAAUUAAAAGUGAAGGUAGGGUGGUGCACCGUUCCAACAGCAGCUUAGCCUCUUAACAAACUGACUCCGGCGCAUAAUAUGAUGACUAUU
rnacentral:lncRNA from 1 species